AACGCACAUUGCGCCCAUCAGUAUUCUGUUGGGCAUGCCUGUCCGAGCGUCAUUUCUACCCUCAAGCCCUGGCUGCUUGGUGUUGGGGUGCUCUACAGCCCCGCUGUAGGCCCUGAAAAUCAGUGGCGGUCUCACCGAGACGACCCGAGCGCAGUAGUCUCUCUCGCUCAGGGGUUGCCGGUGGGUUGCUGGCCGUUAAACACCCAAAAGUUUGACAGUUGACCUCGGAUCAGGUAGGAAUACCCGCUGAACUUAA
rnacentral:misc_RNA from 1 species